GCUUCGUGCCCAGACCUAGUUGUC
rnacentral:siRNA from 1 species